rnacentral:tRNA from 1 species
GCCUUCGUGGUGUAGUGGUCUGCAUUCUCGACGCGUAACCGAGAGGUCCGUGGUUCGAUUCCCGGCGAAGGUG